AAAACAAUUUUCUUCAAGAUUUACCAAUACUCCUUAUUGGUAACAAUCUCCCNCUUUUUGAUGAUGAUCAAAAAUUCAAUUUUAAAAGCAACUUUGGCUUACCUGCAAAACAUACAAGCUAAUAGACAACAACAAAGUUAGCAAUACCUGAUACUUCUCCCCUUAUAGUAUUCUUCUCCCCCUUUUUGAUCAUAAGCAAAAAGAUCAAUACAAGAAAUCUCCCCCUAAAGAUGAUCUCCCCCUAAAUAUGAUCUCCCCCUCAAUUAAACAAUGUAUGCAUAAAGACAAGAGAUCAUUUUACUCAUAAAAGGAAUGAUUACAUUAAUAUCAUAAGGAGAAACAUAAAAGACAACAAUAUACCAUAGAAGUAAAAACAACAAUUAAUCAACAAAGCACACAAACAUGAAAUCCUAAUUUUAAAAUUCAGGACAUGGGGAUCUCUUGGGUAGUUGAAGGUUGAAGUGAUUUGCAAUAUAUCCUAGAUGAACAUCAAUGUCAAGAAAUUGAUCAACCAUAUAAUCUUCAUGAGCUUGCUGCCACUCAUAAAUUUGAUCAAAGUUAGCUUUCUGGGCAAGACUCAUAACCUUCAGUUAUCACAGAAGUUCUCAAUCAAAAGCUUCACCCCUCUUUUCAAAAAAU
rnacentral:lncRNA from 1 species